AAAUCAACGCCCUCUGGCUCUCUGAUGCUGAAGGCACAUUCCACUUCCUGGAUGCCGCGUUGGAGGUCUCUGUUCCGCUUGUCGCAGAAGCUGAGAGCCUAAGGUGAUGGGGCAGGUGACCUCUGGUGACGGAGUCUCCUUCCUGUGUGCUGUGCGUUGCACCCCUGGGUUUUUUUUGUUUCCACCACUGAGUGUAUGAAUGUUUCCCGUAUGAAUGGGAUGACUUUCCCUGGGAUCCCUCUCAUCCCUCGUUGGCCCAUCUCUCCACUGGUAAGCCUCAGCUAAGGCCCCCCUUUCUUUUUCUCCCCAUUAAGUUAAUGUGUGGAUGUUGCUUGAAUCACUUUUAGCAAUUGUUUCAUAUUGUAUUAAAUAAAGCAUAUAUUUUUUUACUGGAA